GAGAUCCGAAGACUGGAAUCAUCCGGAACGAAAGGUCGACACGACGAUUGUACAUUUUGGUGUCGUGAAACAUCUUCCGUGAAUAGCGAAAAAUGCCACAGGCAGCCCACGAAACGAAAAACAUCCUAACCACGUACUUUAUACUCAUCCUCCUGCUGAUUUGCCUCUGGUUGUUGUACUCUGGAUUGUUUUAACUUUAGAAUACAUUCCUCGCCAUGGAGUGAAAAAGCACGAAGGGAACACAUCGUUCGUCGACGACCGGAUAUCCUGGAUCGAUCCACGAUCACUCGGGAUUUUGCCAGAUGCCGGGUUUCUCUUCGCCUAAUCAACGACUGCUUUCCCUCCUUGUUACAUUCGUGUAAAACCGAUUCAAAAUGAACGAGACAAGCGUAAUUCACUUAAGCUCUUUCAACGUUCUCCACGAGUUUCACCUUCGUUCACCCGUUUACCCCACGAUUUUAUGUAUUUUACGACCACGAUAAUUGGACGUCGAAGAAAUCAGUCCUAUUUAUAAUAAAACGAACAACCAAAAUAACGUAGUUUCAUGAGAAACAGGGGCGUGACUGUGCAGCACGAUGAUCAAAGGGACCCGUAUACUUCUCGUAAAGUUGAAAAAUUACAGCGCGCUGGGAAGGCUGCAUCGGGCUGUU